ACGAACGCUGGCGGCAUGCCUAACACAUGCAAGUCGAACGAGACCUUCGGGUCUAGUGGCGCACGGGUGCGUAACGCGUGGGAACCUGCCCUUAGGCUCGGAAUAACUCCCCGAAAGGGGUGCUAAUACCGGAUAAUGUCUUCGUACCAAAGAUUUAUCACCACUGUAUGGGCUCGCGUCGGAUUAGCUAGUUGGUAGGUUAACAGCCUACCAAGGCGACGAUCCAUAGAUGGUCAGAGAGAAUGAUGAGCCACACAGGGACUGAGACACGGCCCAGACUCCUGCGGGAAGCAGCAGUGAGGAAUAGUGGACAUAGGGCGAGAGGCUGAUCCAGCAGUGACGCGUGAAUGAUGAAGGCCGUAGGAUGGGAAAGCUCUUUUAACCGGGAAGAUAAUGACAGUACCGGGAGAAGAAGCCCCGGCUAACUCCGUG
rnacentral:rRNA from 1 species